rnacentral:lncRNA from 1 species
UUCCCAAGUCAAUAAUUAUUUACGCUACACUAAUUGGUCUUAUCAUAAUAGGUAGUGUUACUCUUCCCAGGUCAGUUUCUUUUUGGGGGGGUGUUUGUUGAAUAAUUGCAUUGUAACUAGCUUCCAAUUGAAUUGUGUCUUAGAUAGUGUACUUUCAUUUUUUGUUGAUGAUUUUUUCAUGAAUUUUGUAUAUGCAGACAUUGUGUCUAAAAAGCUUCUUCAAAUAAGAUGUUUAUUUGCAGUUGUUUGGAAGAUACCAAGAAAUCUUGCAUAUUUUAUUUCCUUAUUCUUUUUUUAGGUUGUGAGGGUAUGGUAAAGUCUUGACUGACACAUCUAUUUUUUUAUUUUUCCUUUUUCUAUUUUUCUUCUCUUUCUUUUUCUUCUUUUUCUUUUCUUCUUUUUUUUUCUUAUCUCUUUUCACUUUCUUUUUCUUCUUUUUAUUUUAUUUCACUUUUUAUUUUCUCUCAUUUUUCUUCUUUUUUUCUUUCUUCUUCUUCUUCUUCUUUUUCUUUCUUAUUUCUCUUUCUUGUUACCUCGACCACUUCUGGU